CUCGCGCGUGCGACUUCAGCGGCGUCAGGGACGGAAAGGAAGGCGCCGGUGCGGGGGGCGGGGGUAAUUCGCUACCCAGAAGCCUCCGGAACCUGCGCGCAGCGCCCCUUGAGGGCGCCUCCUAGUGAUGUCAGACGGUGCCUAGCCCAGGAGGACGCAGGUGACGCCAUUAUCCCGUCUUGUCCCGCAGCCACCACCGCAAAGGCGAAAGGUAGUUCCGGCCCGCCUUCUUGUAUACAGUGGGGGCUCCCAGGAUGCCACGCGGCGCCUACAGUUCCCACCAUGCAGCGCAGCCUCCACGCCCUGGACGCAUCUCUGCGGGAGAGGCCGACGCGGCCGGCGAACUACAAGUCCCAUGGUGCAUGGCUACCGGAAGCGCGGGUACGCUGAUGCCUGCGCUGGCCGCACGUGGCCCGGGCGUUAUUGCACUGGUCCAGCCCGCUGACCUUCUGGGUCUCAGGUGGUUCCCAGCCGCGGGGACACGAGUUCGCUGUCCGGCCCGCCCAGUGGGGUGGGCGAGCCGCUCCGCGCGCUCACACCGCGGAACCGAGCCGCUGCUCGCCCCCCAGCGCCUUGGUGGUGGCUCUGGCCGAAGCUGGGAGGCCCUGUCACCGCUGCCCCGAGGAACGGAGCCAGGAGUGCUGAAGCCCGCGUGACUCCCCUCCCCCCCUCCCCCGCCCUGCCACCCCGCCCUGGCCUUGUCGGCUCGGGACAGAUCUCAGGGUCCACGCGGACGUAGCACACGUCACUCAUUCACUCUCCGUGUCAGGAACCCUGCUGCAGGCUGGCGUCGGUCCUGAGAGGGAACAGAUCCGGUUCUGCCUCCGCAGAACUCAGGUUCUAGUGCGGGGACACACAAAAGUAAAUAAACGAGGCAGUCCCAGGCUGACACUGCCACGGGGCUGAAGGAUGAGAAGGAGCCGGCCCUGCGAAGAUGUGGGGCGAGCGUCAGGCCCCAGGGGUCAGAUGCAAAGGCCCAACUAAGGUGGCCGGAGAUGGGUUCAGAGGCAGCAGCCAGCCCAUUCGGGCUCUGACAGCAGGUGAACCCACGUGUCAGCGCCAAGCACUGGUUUGUUAACGCAAGCCACACGGUACAACCCCCCCCCCCCGCCCCCCGCCGUCGUGUAGAUGAGGUCAGGCGUAGAAAGGUUUUCUUGCUCAGGGUCACACAGCUGCGGUAAAGUGGGGAAACCAUUUGGGAAGAAUGGGACUUAACUGCAAUCACACAAGAAAGUGUUGUGAUUGUUUUUAUUUAAAUUUUUUAAUGGUAAAAUAAUACAUAACGUAAAACUUACCAUUUUUAAAAAUUUUAUUUAUUUA